UGGCCCCCUUGCUGCAGGGCAAGUCCCAGGAGGAUAUGGUAGUCUGCUAGGCCCUGGACAGCCACUAGGAGGAUAUCGAGGGAAGGAAUCAAAGUAUGGAAUGAAUGGAUACCUGGGAAAUGGCUAUAGAGGCCGCUGCUCUUCUGGAAAAUGCUGAAAGACAAUAUUGCUCUGCAGAACUUCCAAUAGCAAGAUCUAACAUUCUAGGCAAUCUUUGGUGCUAAGUUUAAAGACCAACAACUGCAUUCCCAAUAUAAAUGACUGUGUCUUUUUCUUUCUCUAUGUUUUAUUUUGUCAUUAGAAACUUUUCAUUUUUUAAAGAGUGAAAAACAUUGCAUGUUAGUUUUUAAAGCUUUGGUCAACCAUAUUUUCCAAGGACUAAUAGUAUUUCUGUGACCGUACUACACAAAGAGUUUGAGAAGCUAGAAAUUGCUUUCUCCGCCAAGACAUACCCUGUGUAUUCCACAGAUUAGGAGGCAGUCUAGAAAU